AAACUUUCAGCAACGGAUCUCUUGGUUCUGGCAUCGAUGAAGAACGCAGCGAAAUGCGAUAAGUAAUGUGAAUUGCAGAAUUUAGUGAAUCAUCGAAUCUUUGAACGCACAUUGCGCCUAUUAGUAUUCUAGUAGGCAUGCCUGUUCGAGCGUCAUU
rnacentral:rRNA from 1 species